UUGCAGAUAUUCUUCAUUAUUCCAUCAUCAUCUCAAACCUCUUGGGUAUAGUGUUUGACUGCUACUGUGACCAUAAAUUCCAAUAAAACCUAGGAAAAAAUGAAACCACUACAUUAACUGAAAGGAUGUGCCUGUCACAGUCUCCACCAGAAGCUUUAUCUUACUACAGAGUCCAGAUGCAUUAAGCCUGUGUUCGAGCCAUGAUCUUCCUCUGAAGAAGAAAUGAAGAAGAAAUUUAUCUUAUUUUUGGAUAUAGUGUUCUUGGUUGGCAGUUUAAUUAUUAUUUUUACUUCAUCACUUUGUAUACGUCAUCGCACUUUCUCCUGGCCUAUAAGAUCUCUUCUGAGAAAUUUUACGUUCUACUUUACUGGAACUUCAUUAAAUAUUAUUUGCAUCAUU
rnacentral:lncRNA from 1 species